AACGAACGCUGGCGGCAUGCCUAACACAUGCAAGUCGAACGAGACCUUCGGGUCUAGUGGCGCACGGGUGCGUAACGCGUGGGAACCUGCCCUUAGGUUCGGAAUAACUCUCCGAAAGGGGUGCUAAUACCGGAUAAUGUCUUCGGACCAAAGAUUUAUCGCCUUUGGAUGGGCCCGCGUUGGAUUAGCUAGUUGGUAGGGUAAAAGACUACCAAGGCGACGAUCCAUAGCUGGUCUGAGAGGAUGAUCAGCCACACUGGGACUGAGACACGGCCCAGACUCCUACGGGAGGCAGCAGUGGGGAAUAGUGGACAAUGGGCGAAAGCCUGAUCCAGCAAUGCCGCGUGAGUGAUGAAGGCCUUAGGGUUGUAAAGCUCUUUUACCCGGGAUGAUAAUGACAGUACCGGGAGAAUAAGCUCCGGCUAACUCCGUG
rnacentral:rRNA from 1 species